UACGUAGGUGGCAAGCGUUGUCCGGAAUUAUUGGGCGUAAAGCGCGCGCAGGCGGUCCUUUAAGUCUGAUGUGAAAGCCCACGGCUCAACCGUGGAGGGUCAUUGGAAACUGGGGGACUUGAGUACAGAAGAGAAGAGUGGAAUUCCACGUGUAGCGGUGAAAUGCGUAGAGAUGUGGAGGAACACCAGUGGCGAAGGCGGCUCUCUGGAACGCAACUGACGCUGAGACGCGAAAGCGUGGGGAGCAAACAGG
rnacentral:rRNA from 1 species